UCUAACGAGGUGGCGGGGGCCGAGGUGAUGGGUUGGGGUGGUGCGUUGGCCGGAAUUGCUGGGCGGAAAGGGCUGGGAUGUGGGUUGUCGCGUCGUCUGUGAAAUUCCGGGGCUUAACUUCGGGCGUGCAGGCGAUACGGGCAUAACUUGAGUGCUGUAGGGGAGACUGGAAUUCCUGGUGUAGCGGUGGAAUGCGCAGAUAUCAGGAGGAACACCGAUGGCGAAGGCAGGUCUCUGGGCAGUAACUGACGCUGAGGAGCGAAAGCAUGGGGAGCGAACAGGAUUAGAUACCCGUGUAGC
rnacentral:rRNA from 1 species